rnacentral:misc_RNA from 1 species
GAUGAAGAACGUAGCAAAAUGCGAUAAGUAAUGUGAAUUGCAGAAUUCAGUGAAUCAUCGAAUCUUUGAACGCACAUUGCGCCCGCCAGUAUUCUGGCGGGCAUGCCUGUUCGAGCGUCAUUUCAACCCUCAAGCACAGCUUGGUGUUGGGACUCGCGUUAAUUCGCGUUCCUCAAAUUGAUUGGCGGUCACGUCGAGCUUCCAUAGCGUAGUAGUAAAACCCUCGUUACUGGUAAUCGUCGCGGCCACGCCGUUAAACCCCAACUUCUGAACGUUUGACCUCGGAUCAGGUAGGAAUACCCGCUGAACUUAAGCAUAUCAAUAAGCGGAGGA